GCUCGCUCGGGACGGCAGCGGCGGCUUCCCGUCCCUUCUGCCGCGUCUCCUCUGGCGCCGACGCUGUUUCUGUGCUGCCGAAACCUGGUUUUAUCUCGCGCGGCGAUUGAUUUGGUAGCAGCGAAGGGCUUUGUCGAGUACGUGGCAGCGUUUCGGCUCGAGCCUCCGUCCUCGACCGCGAGCCAAGCGAUGAGACUUGAAAACCAAAACCAUAAAUGACAUUCCCUGUGACGUUUUGUAAAGUUCUGGAGAAGCACUGGUGACGCUUCACCCCCCCACCUCGCCGUCGCCUUCCCGCCGUUCUUGCUUUGCCGAGGGGUUUUACCGAACCCCUCUCCCACCCGCCGGAAAGCUGCCGGUGCCGCGGCAGUUGUGUUUGCAGCAAGGCAGAGCGGGACUUGGCUGAUAAUGGGUGUGAAAAGCCCCGUUUAAGCUGCGAAAGCAGGUUUUACCGGCCGGGCCCUCUCCUCUCCCUCUCUUUCUCCUGGAAGCGCCGACGACGGUGUAAGUGCGGGCGAAGGGCACCGUGCCAUCCCUUGCGCUCGUGGUUGUGCUCGGCGAGCCCACGGUCCCUACGCUGAGACCGCAAGCGCCCGUCUCCUCCCUAAACCCCCCGGCACCGAGCUGGGAGCGUCUCGGUACCGUGUACCUGUGCCGGCAGCCUCCGGGAUGUGUCACCGGGCUUUGUGCCCCACGGUGAUGCUUCACCGCGCCUGGCGGCCUCGCUCGCCAGUUUGUACGCCUAAUCCCAAUAAAUUAUGCCUUGCUACUGAA